rnacentral:rRNA from 1 species
UAGUCAUAUGCUUGUUUAAAAGAUUAAGCCAUGCAUGUGUAAGUAUAGAGCAUUUCUAGCUUGAAACUGCGAACGGCUCAUUAAAUCAGUUAUAAUCUACUUGAUUGUAUUGAAAUUACUAGGAUAUUUAAAGUAAUUCUUUAAUUAAUACUUGAGAAAAAUCUUGACUUGAGAAAAGGAAGAGAUGUAUUUAUUAGAUCCAAAAUCAAUGUGUGGGAGGUAAAACUCUCAUUCAAAAAAAAUGAUGAUUCAUAAUAACUAGACGAAGCGCAAGAAU